AGAGUUUGAUCCUGGCUCAGAUUGAACGCUGGCGGCAGGCCUAACACAUGCAAGUCGAGCGGAUGAGUGGAGCUUGCUUCAUGAUUCAGCGGCGGACGGGUGAGUAAUGCCUAGGAAUCUGCCUGGUAGUGGGGGACAACGUUUCGAAAGGAACGCUAAUACCGCAUACGUCCUACGGGAGAAAGUGGGGGAUCUUCGGACCUCACGCUAUCAGAUGAGCCUAGGUCGGAUUAGCUAGUUGGCGAGGUAAAGGCUCACCAAGGCGACGAUCCGUAACUGGUCUGAGAGGAUGAUCAGUCACACUGGAACUGAGACACAGUCCAGACUCCUACGGGAGGCAGCAGUGGGGAAUAUUGGACAAUGGGCGAAAGCCUGAUCCAGCCAUGCCGCGUGUGUGAAGAAGGCCUUCGGGUUGUAAAGUACUUUCAGCGGGGAGGAAGGGGAUGUGGUUAAUAACCGCAUCCAUUGACGUUACCCGCAGAAGAAGCACCGGCUAACUCCGUGCCAGCAGCCGCGGUAAUA
rnacentral:rRNA from 1 species